rnacentral:siRNA from 1 species
AUCAAUAGCCUAAGUGACAACGAC